GUGUCAGCCGCCGCGGUAAUACCAGCUCUCCGAGUUGUGGGGACGUUUAUUGAGCCUGAAGCAUCCGUAGCCGGCUGUGCAAGUCCCCUGUUAAAUCCAGCGACUAAUCGUUGGCCUGCGGGGGAUACUGCUCGGCUAGGGGGCGGGAGAGGCCGUCGGUAUUCUUGGGGUAGGGGUGAAAUCCUAUAAUCCCAGGAGGACCACCAGUGGCGAAGGCUGUCGGCUAGAACGCGCCUGACGGUGAGGGAUGAAAGCUGGGGGAGCGAACCGGAUUAGAUACCCGGGUAGUCCCAGCUGUAAACGAUGCAGGCUAGGUGUUAGGGCGGCUACGUGCCGCUCUAGUGCCGCAGGGAAGCUGUUAAGCCUGCCGCUUGGGGAGUACGGCCGCAAGGCUGAAACUCAAAGGAAUUGACGGGG
rnacentral:rRNA from 1 species